rnacentral:rRNA from 1 species
GGGUUCGGGAUAGCCACCAGAGAUGGUGGGUAAUACCGGAUGACCUCGUGAGAGCAAAGAUUUAUCGCCCUGGGAGGGGCCCAUGUGAUAUUAGCUAGUUGGUGGGGUAACGGCCCACCAAGGCAAAGAUGUCUAGCGGGUGUGAGAGCACGACCCGCGCCACUCGCACUGAGACACUGGCGAGACACCUACGGGUGGCUGCAGUCGAGGAUCUUCGGCAAUGGGCGAAAGCCUGACCGAGCGAUGCCGCGUGCGCGAUGAAGGCCUUCGGGUUGUAAAGCGCGAAAGAGGGGAGAAAAGCCCGAAAGGGUUUGAUCUAUCCUCAGUAAGCUCGGGCUAAGUUCGUGCCAGCAGCCGCGGUAAGACGAACCGAGCGAACGUUGUUCGGAAUCACUGGGCUUAAAGGGCGCGUAGGCGGGCUGUCAAGUCUGGGGUGAAAUCCCGCGGCUCAACCGUGGAACUGCCUCAGAUACUGACGGUCUCGAGGGGGAUAGGGGCGAGCGGAACUGUGAGUGGAGCGGUGAAAUGCGUUGAUAUUCACAGGAACUCCGGUGGCGAAGCGGCUCGCUGGAUCUCUUCUGACGCUGAGGCGCGAAAGCCAGGGGAGCAAACGGGAUUAGAUACCCCGGUAGUCCUGGCCCUAAACGUUGGGUACUAGGUAGUAGACUAGACAUGGGUUUACUGCCGAAGCAAAAGUGCUAAGUACCCCGCCUGGGGAGUAUGGUCGCAAGGCUGAAACUCAAAGGAAUUGACGGGGGGCUCACACAAGCGGUGGAGCAUGUGGCUUAAUUCGAGGCUACGCGAAGAACCUUAUCCUGGACUUGACAUGUGCGAAAGCGCCAGCAGGUAGGACCCGGAAACGGGAACGAACGGUAUCCAACCCGGAAGCUGGUACAGGUGCUGCAUGGCUGUCGUCAGCUCGUGUCGUGAGAUGUCGGGUUAAGUCCCAUAACGAGCGAAACCCUUACCCUUAGUUGCUACCAUUUAGUUGGGCACUCUAGGGGGACUGCCGGUGUCAAACCGGAGGAAGGUGGGGAUGACGUCAAGUCCUCAUGGCCUUUAUGUCCAGGGCUGCACACGUGCUACAAUGCCGUACACAAAGCGACGCGACCUUGCGAAAGGAAGCUAAUCGCAAAAAUUACGGCCCAGUUC